GACGAACGCUGGCGGCGUGCUUAACACAUGCAAGUCGAACGGAAAGGCCCUGCUUUUGUGGGGUGCUCGAGUGGCGAACGGGUGAGUAACACGUGAGUAACCUGCCCUUGACUUUGGGAUAACUUCAGGAAACUGGGGCUAAUACCGGAUAGGAGCUCCUGCUGCAUGGUGGGGGUUGGAAAGUUUCGGCGGUUGGGGAUGGACUCGCGGCUUAUCAGCUUGUUGGUGGGGUAGUGGCUUACCAAGGCUUUGACGGGUAGCCGGCCUGAGAGGGUGACCGGCCACAUUGGGCCUGAGAUACGGCCCAGACUCCUACGGGAGGCAGCAGUGGGGAAUAUUGCACAAUGGGCGGAAGCCUGAUGCAGCAACGCCGCGUGCGGGAUGACGGCCUUCGGGUUGUAAACCGCUGUCGCCUGUGACGAAGCGUGAGUGACGGUAAUGGGUAAAGAAGCACCGGCUAACUACGUG
rnacentral:rRNA from 1 species